rnacentral:rRNA from 1 species
AUGUCGUCGGCGACAGGGCCGGUGGUGGACGCGGAGUACGUGGCCGAGAUCGAGAGGGCGCGCCGGGACCUCCGCGCGCUCAUCGCCAGCAAGAGCUGCGCCCCCAUCAUGCUCCGCCUCGCAUGGCAUGACGCCGGCACCUUCGACAAGAACACCAUCACCGGAGGCCCCGACGGCUCCAUCAGGUUCCCGGAGGAGCUCCGCCACGCCGCCAAUGCAGGGCUCAAGAUCGCCGUCGACCUUCUUGAGCCAAUUAAGCAGAAGCACCCCAAGAUCACGUACGCCGACCUGUACCAGCUCGCCGGAGUCGUGGCCGUCGAGGUCACCGGUGGACCAACCAUAGAUUUCGUCCCCGGCAGGAGGGAUUCUUCAGUUGCCAUUGAGGAAGGACGCUUGCCAGAUGCUAAGCAAGGUGCUUCACACCUCAGGGAAGUUUUCUACCGAAUGGGCUUGACCGACAAGGACAUAGUGGCACUCUCGGGUGGCCAUACUCUGGGGAAAGCUCGUCCCGACAGAUCGGGAUUCGACGGUGCUUGGACAAAAGAUCCACUGAAGUUCGACAACUCCUACUUCGUUGAGCUUCUGAAAGGGGACUCUAAUGGGCUACUCAAGCUGCCUACAGACAAGGUUCUCGUGGAAGAUACCGAUUUUCGUCGCUUCGUUGAAUUAUACGCAAAGGAUGAGGAUGCCUUCUUCAGGGACUACGCAGAGUCACACAAGAAGCUUUCCGAGCUCGGGUUCACGCCUUCUCGCGCUACCCUACUGGCGUGGGGGUGCAGAGACAAAGCCAAGAGGGCUGUCACGAGAACUACCGCUGUCUUUGCGGUUGCGGUUGCCGUCAUCGCCUGCGCUUACAUCUGUGAAUCCAAGAGGAGGCUCAGUGGUUAA